GCAAGUCGAACGAGAAAGUGGACUUCGUUCCGCUAGUAGAGUGGCGAACUGGUGAGUAACGCGUGGAUAAUCUACCUUCAAAUUUGGGAUAACAUUGCGAAAGCGGUGCUAAUACCGGAUAAUGUCUUUUUAACCUUGGUUAGAAAGAUCAAAGAUGGCCUAUCCUUGGAAGCUAUUGUUUGAAGAUGAGUCCGCGUAUCAUUAGCUUGUUGGUGGGGUAACGGCCUACCAAGGCGACGAUGACUAGCUGGUCUGAGAGGAUGAUC
rnacentral:rRNA from 1 species